rnacentral:rRNA from 1 species
UGGGGAAUAUUGCACAAUGGGCGCAAGCCUGAUGCAGCCAUGCCGCGUGUAUGAAGAAGGCCUUCGGGUUGUAAAGUACUUUCAGCGAGGAGGAAGGCGUUGUGGUUAAUAACCGCAACGAUUGACGUUACUCGCAGAAGAAGCACCGGCUAACUCCGUGCCAGCAGCCGCGGUAAUACGGAGGGUGCAAGCGUUAAUUGGAAUUACUGGGCGUAAAGCGCACGCAGGCGGUCUGUCAAGUCGGAUGUGAAAUCCCCGGGCUCAACCUGGGAACUGCAUCCGAAACUGGCAGGCUAGAGUCUUGUAGAGGGGGGUAGAAUUCCAGGUGUAGCGGUGAAAUGCGUAGAGAUCUGGAGGAAUACCGGUGGCGAAGGCGGCCCCCUGGACAAAGACUGACGCUCAGGUGCGAAAGCGUGGGGAGCAAACA